UACGAAGGGGGCUAGCGUUGUUCGGAAUCACUGGGCGUAAAGCGCACGUAGGCGGAUCUUUAAGUCAGGGGUGAAAUCCCGAGGCUCAACCUCGGAACUGCCUUUGAUACUGGGGAUCUCGAGUCCGGGAGAGGUGAGUGGAACUGCGAGUGUAGAGGUGAAAUUCGUAGAUAUUCGCAAGAACGCCAGUGGCGAAGGCGGCUCACUGGCCCGGUACUGACGCUGAGGUGCGAAAGCGUGGGGAGCAAACAGG
rnacentral:rRNA from 1 species